rnacentral:rRNA from 1 species
GUCUAUAGCCAUAUCUCCCUGAAUACUCCAGAUCUUGUCUGAUCUUGGAAGCUAUGCAGGGUCUGGCCUGGUUAGUAUUUAAAAGAGAGAUAAGGAGCUCUGAUGUUCAAGAGAACACAUCUGGUGAAAUGGUAU